CAGCCGCUCCUCCUUCUUUCUCUCUCUGGUGAUUUUCAAUUUAGGGUUUCACGAGAUCUGUGGUAUGAGCAAGAUCUCACCAGAUCCAACAAUGGUGUGGUGAUCUCAGGCGAUAUAUGUGCUUCAGUUUUGUUAACCAUCUCCUCCCUUUCUCCAGGCGAUUCUAGGGUUUCUUUAUCAGUCGCUUCAAGAUCUACGCUUCCUCAGUGAUGAAUCUCUCUAGAUCCGACACCAGAUCGACUGAUUACCUGGUGGUUGUGGGGGGAAGAUGGUGGCGAUGACACA